GGAGAAGGCCAGUGUGCUCAGAGUGCUAUU
rnacentral:piRNA from 1 species